GCUCGUCUCCUAUUUUCGCUCUCUCUCUCGUUUCUCCUCCCUAAGUGGCGGCUAGGGUUACCGCGGCCGUCGCCCCACCCCUGCUCAUGGCCUCGGUUGAUUUAGCGCCGCCGCCACCCCUUUUCUCUUGUCCACGCUCUCUGUCCUUGCAAGCAACCUCUCCUCUCCUCGUCUCUCUCCUCCGCGUCUUCCUCCGGGGAGCCUUGCGGCUGCAGCAGGAGGGGAGAAAGGAGGCCGGGCCAGCCGAUUUCCUCGCCGGAUCUGGAGCGCAGGGGCGACGCCGGCGAGUAACCGAUCAGGGAGGAGCAUUGGUCGCCGGUGAAGAAAAUAUGGGAGGGAGAGGAGCACUGAUCGGGUGGAGUCAUCAGGGAUGGUCGAUGCCAAGCUGAUCUUAUUCUGGUGAGAGUUUGAUGACAGGGAGAAAGUUCAGAGAUGUGUCCAGUCUUGCAUUCCCAAGUAAUCAUUGGUGUUCAUUUUUGAAAUACUGCUUUGUACUUCCACCGUAACAAAAUGUAAGACGUUUUUAUACCCUAUGCAAACCAAAAAAAGGUCUUA